GCUAUGGAAGCCCCUUGAGUUCACCAACUCUGAACUUGUUUAGUCAAGGCCAUAUCACAGUGGAGGUUCCUCCCUCCAUUCGGAGAAAGGCGCCUCCCUCCUUGAUGGCCUGUUCCUUCUGCUGGGGUCUUGUUCACCAGGAUCUUUCAUUUAGAUUGUUUUGCCACCGUGUCAUGGCUUUCCAUGCCUGUGAGACUCUCAUGGGCCUUUUAGCCAGAUCCGAAUGCCCUAAGGGUUGAUUCUGAGGCCGGAGUGCUGUUUUGGGUGUUUGCCAGUCUAUGAGUCUGCUGUGUGUCCUGCUUCCCCUGCAAGAUCAUUCUCUCCCUUUUAAUUCUAUGCUUCAUUACUUGCUUACACUGGUCUUAUUUGUAAAAUCUCUUCGACACUUACCCUAACUUUUUGAUCGGUUGUGUACUUAUACUUAUCACUUUACCAUGUGUGCUGGCAUUGGUACAUGCCUCCUUGAUAAGAUUGAGUUGAAAUCCCCUGGCACAUUUCUAGUUCCACCAUUGGAGGCAGACACACACACAAACAGAAGAGAGAGAAGAGAGAAGAGAGAAGAGAGAAGAGAGAAGAGAGAAGAGAGAAGAGAGAAGAGAGAAGAGAGAAGAGAGAGAUCUUGGCCAGGUCAAAGUUAAUAGCUGGGAACUCAAUCCAGAUCUCCAAACUGGCUGGCAGGAACUCAGCUCUUCAGGAGACACUGGCUGGAGCAGGAGGAAGGAUACUCCCUCAGCGGGGCUGUGCUCUUCUCAGAUAUCGCAGGUUCCAAAAUCUUUGAAGGAAUCAAAGGAGAUCACAGAGAUGCAGCAUAAGCUUAAUUAGGUCCCACCAUUCCUGUUCAACCACUCAAGGCAGAGAAGUCCUGAAUGAUGAGAGACAGUUUUGUUCACUAAAAGCAAGAAGGAAGAAAUCUAUUUCACAAAACCGUUGCUGUCAUUGUAGUUGCUUCCUCUUUCUACAUCUCCUCGUCAUUGCAUCCCUUGAUGCUUGCUUCCUUCUCUUUCCACCAGUCUGACAUCUUCAUAUGAUUCUCUUUUUCCAUCCAGUGUUCAUGCAUCUUCCAAAAUUUGGAUGCAUUGAUAAGUGUAAUAAGACAUAGAAAGAUAAUACUGCAUGAUCUCACUUUUAUGUGGAAGUUAAUACAAACCCAUAGAAACACAGACAAAAUUGGAAGUUACCAGGAGUUAGAAGCUGGAGAAAUUUCAAGAUAUUUGUCAAAUAUUUGUCAAAGUGUACAAAGCCUCAGUUAUGAAAAACAAAAAAAAUUCUAGAAAUUAAAUACACAGCAUGGUGACUAGAGUUAGCUACACUGUAUUAUGUACUUGAAAUUUUCCAAGAGAAUAGAUCUUAAGUGUUCAGAAAAUGGCUACCCUAAUGAUGGUGAUCAUUUCACAAUGUAUAAAUAUCUACA